UACGAGGGGGGCGAGCGUUGUUCGGAAUUAUUGGGCGUAAAGGGUGCGUAGGCGGUUGUUUAAGUUUGGUGUGAAAUCUCCCGGCUCAACUGGGAGGGUGCGCCGAAUACUGAAUGACUAGAGUGCGGGAGAGGAGAGUGGAAUUCCUGGUGUAGCGGUGAAAUGCGUAGAUAUCAGGAGGAACACCGGUGGUGUAGACGGCUCUCUGGACCGUAACUGACGCUGAGGCACGAAAGCGUGGGUAGCAAACAGG
rnacentral:rRNA from 1 species